rnacentral:rRNA from 1 species
CACGUAGGGCGCAAGCGUUGUCCGGAAUUAUUGGGCGUAAAGAGCUCGUAGGCGGCUUGUCGCGUCGUUCGUGAAAACCCGGGGCUCAACUCCGGGCUUGCGGGCGAUACGGGCAGGCUAGAGUUCGGUAGGGGAGACUGGAAUUCCUGGUGUAGCGGUGAAAUGCGCAGAUAUCAGGAGGAACACCGGUGGCGAAGGCGGGUCUCUGGGCCGAUACUGACGCUGAGGAGCGAAAGCGUGGGGAGCAAACAGG